rnacentral:rRNA from 2 species
UGACCUCGGAUCAGGUAGGAAUACCCGCUGAACUUAAGCAUAUCAAUAAGCGGAGGAAAAGAAACCAACAGGGAUUGCCCCAGUAACGGCGAGUGAAGCGGCAACAGCUCAAAUUUGAAAUCUGGCUCCCUUCGGGGGUCCGAGUUGUAAUUUGCAGAGGAUGCUCUUGGCGAGGCACCGUCCGAGUUCCCUGGAACGGGACGCCGCAGAGGGUGAGAGCCCCGUGUGGACGGACGCCGAGCCGCUGUAGAGCUCCUUCGACGAGUCGAGUAGUUUGGGAAUGCUGCUCUAAACGGGAGGUAAAUCUCUUCUAAAGCUAAAUAUAGGCCACAGACCGAUAGCGCACAAGUAGAGUGAUCGAAAGAUGAAAAGCACUUUGAAAAGAGAGUUAAACAGCACGUGAAAUUGUUGAAAGGGAAGCGCUCAUGACCAGACUUGCGCCUGGCGGAUCAUCCGGCGUUCUCGCCGGUGCACUCCGCCAGGCUCAGGCCAGCAUCGGUUCGCUGUCGGGGAGAAAGGCUGGGGGAAUGUGGCUCUUCGGAGUGUUAUAGCCCCCUGCGCAAUACCCUUCGGCGGACCGAGGUUCGCGCAUUCUUGCAAGGAUGCUGGCGUAAUGGCCACCGGCGACCCGU